GACGAACGCUGGCGGCGUGCUUAACACAUGCAAGUCGUACGGUAAGGCCCUUUCGGGGGUCCACGAGUGGCGAACGGGUGAGUAACACGUGAGUAACCUGCCCACAACUUUGGGAUAACGCUAGGAAACUGGUGCUAAUACUGGAUAUGUGCCCCUGCUGCAUGGUGGGGGUUGGAAAGCUACGGCGGUUGUGGAUGGACUCGCGGCCUAUCAGCUUGUUGGUGGGGUAGUGGCCUACCAAGGCGGCGACGGGUAGCCGGCCUGAGAGGGUGACCGGCCACAUUCGGACUGAGAUACGGCCAAGACUCCUACGGGAGGCAGCAGUGGAGAAUAUUGCACAAGGGGCGCAAGCCUGAUGCAGCAACGCCGCGUGCGGGAUGACGGCCUUCGGGUUGGAAACCGCUUUCAGCAGGGACGAAGCUUUUUGUGACGGUACCUGCAGAAGAAGCACCGGCUAACUACGUG
rnacentral:rRNA from 1 species